AUUAUUUCUCAGCCUUUUGGCUAAAAUCAAGUGUAGUGUGUUAUCGGUGUAUCCAAUGUAUCCUCUAGCCAAGAGCAGUAUGUUACACGGAUUUUUGGAGCUAAGAGAUGGACUAGGAGCAGUUUCUGUCCACUGCACGCAUCGACCUGGUACUUCAGUUCCUCCAGGAACAGUGCACCACCU
ensembl:snRNA Gm26020 predicted gene, 26020